UACGAGGGGGGCAAAUGUUGUUCGGAAUCACUGGGCGUAAAGGGAGCGUAGGCGGGUUUCUAAGUCAGGUGUUUAAUCCCGGGGCCCAACCCCGGACAGGCACUUGAAACUGGGAAUCUUGAAUAGUGGAGAGGUCAGUGGAAUUGGGGGUGUAGCGGUGGAAUGCGUAGAGAUCCCCAAGAACACCAGUUGCGAAGGCGGCCUACUGGGCCAGCACUGACGCUGAGGCGCGAAAGCUCGGGGAGCGAACGGG
rnacentral:rRNA from 1 species